UACGAGGGGUGCAAGCGUUGUUCGGAAUCACUGGGCGUAAAGGGAGCGUAGGCGGAACUCCAAGUCGGUCGUACAAUACCGGGGCUCAACCCCGGACCUGCGGUCGAUACUGGGGCUCUUGAGUUAUUUAGAGGCAGGCGGAAUUCCAGGUGUAGCGGUGGAAUGCGUAGAGAUCUGGAAGAACACCAAUGGCGAAGGCAGCCUGCUGGGAAUUAACUGACGCUGAGGCUCGAAAGCGCGGGUAGCAAACAGG
rnacentral:rRNA from 1 species